rnacentral:rRNA from 1 species
ACUCUAGCCCACACACACAUAAAUAUAAAUAUUGAAAUUUUACUAAAUCAAAACAUUCAACCAAGAAUAGUAUUGGAGAAAGAAAUUCCACCAAAGGAGCUAUAGAGUAAGUACCGCAAGGGAAAGAUGAAAGAUAACUUUAAAGUAAAAAAAAGCAAAGAUAAACCCCUGUACCUUUUGCAUAAUGAAUUAACUAGAAAUAAUCUAACCAAAAGAAUUUAAGCUAGAAACCCCGAAACCAAACGAGCUACCUAAAAACAAUUUUACGAAUCAACCCGUCUAUGUAGCAAAAUAGUGGGAAGAUUUUUAGGUAGAGGUGAAAUGCCAAACGAGCUUGGUGAUAGCUGGUUACCCAACAAUGAAUUUUAGUUCAACUUAAAAUUUACUAAAAGAACAUACAAUCCAAAUGUAAAUUUUAAAUAUAGCCAAAAGAGGGACAGCUCUUUAGGAAUGGAAAAAACCUUUAAUAGUGAAUAAACUAAAUAAUUAUUAAACCAUUGUAGGCCUAAAAGCAGCCACCAAUAAAGAAAGCGUUCAAGCUCAACAUAAUAAAUAUACAAUACCAAAAAUCCCAAACAAAUUCCUAUAAUAACAAUUGGGUUAAUCUAUUAAUCAAUAGAUGAGAUAAUGUUAAUAUGAGUAACAAGAAUUAAUUCUCCAGGCACAAGUGUAUAACAACUCGGAUAACCAUUGUUAGUUACCGAAUCAUAGAUACUAAACACAAAAUAAAUAAACCUAUAGUUAAUCCGUUAACCCAACACAGGAGUGCCCUAAGGAAAGAUUAAAAGGAAUAAAAGGAACUCGGCAAAUACGGACCCCGCCUGUUUACCAAAAACAUCACCUCUAGCAUUACAAGUAUUAGAGGCAUUGCCUGCCCAGUGACUCAAGUUAAACGGCCGCGGUAUCCUGACCGUGCAAAGGUAGCAUAAUCACUUGUUCCUUAAUUAGGGACUAGAAUGAACGGCUAAACGAGGGUCCAACUGUCUCUUAUUCCCAAUCAGUGAAAUUGACCUUUCAGUGAAGAGGCUGAAAUACUACAAUAAGACGAGAAGACCCUAUGGAGCUUUAAUCAAAAGUUUAAUUACAAAUUACAUAACCUAAUGGAACAAACAUAAAAAUCUAAACUAGAGAUUUCGGUUGGGGUGACCUCGGAGAACAAAAAAUCCUCCGAAAGAUUUUAACAUAGACUAACAAGUCAAAGUAACUUAAAAUCCAAUUGACCCAAAAAUCUUGAUCAACGGACCAAGUUACCCUAGGGAUAACAGCGCAAUCCUAUUUAAGAGUCCAUAUCGACAAUUAGGGUUUACGACCUCGAUGUUGGAUCAGGACAUCCCAAUGGUGCAGAAGCUAUUAACGGUUCGUUUGUUCAACGAUUAAAGUCCUACGUGAUCUGAGUUCAGACCGGAGUAAUCCAGGUCGGUUUCUAUCUAUUCACAAUUUCUCCCAGUACGAAAGGACAAGAGAAAUAGAGCCAACUUACAAAAAUGCUCUUAACCUAACCUAUGAAACAAAUCUUAAUAUGACAACCAAUGUAAAAAAAAAAUUACCAAAAUAAGGUU